UACGUAGGGUGCGAGCGUUGUCCGGAAUUACUGGGCGUAAAGGGUGCGUAGGCGGUCGGGUAAGUCUGAUGUGAAAUCUCACAGCUUAACUGUGAAACUGCAUUGGAUACUAUCCGGCUCGAGGAAUGGAGGGGAGACUGGAAUACUUGGUGUAGCAGUGAAAUGCGUAGAUAUCAAGUGGAACACCAGUGGCGAAGGCGAGUCUCUGGACAUUUCCUGACGCUGAGGCACGAAAGCCAGGGGAGCAAACGGG
rnacentral:rRNA from 1 species